rnacentral:rRNA from 1 species
UACAGAGGUCUCAAGCGUUGUUCGGAUUCAUUGGGCGUAAAGGGUGCGUAGGUGGCGCCGUAAGUCAGGUGUGAAAUCUCGGGGCUCAACCCCGAAACUGCACUUGAUACUGCGGUGCUCGAGUACUGGAGAGGAGAUUGGAAUUUACGGUGUAGCAGUGAAAUGCGUAGAUAUCGUAAGGAAGACCAGUGGCGAAGGCGGAUCUCUGGACAGUUACUGACACUGAGGCACGAAGGCCAGGGGAGCAAACGGGG